CUCUCAUGUCUGUGACCCCAUGCUGUGACCCCAGGUUACCCUUUGACCUGGGCCAUAGCAGUCCAAACAGAAUGCAAAAUUCAAACAAGAUGCGUGCAUCUCCUGUUGGAACCGGGGUUGACCUGGCCGUCUGUCUUUCUGCAAGUGUGCCUAUUUAUGGCUGGGUGUAAAGAUUGUACUUUUUUUUUUUUUAUGGGUGAUUUAAACCUCAUUCUCUGCUAGAACUUCUGAAAAAGAAAUCUCAGUGGGAUCAGCUCCACAAAUCAAUAAUAAACUAAGUUGUGUUCUUCAGUGCGAUUUCCUAUAAGUAGAAGUGGCCUCUUGGGGGUCCUUUUUCAAGGACACCGACUUAGGUAAGUAUGGGGAAUUGUAUAGAUGCUGCAUGCAGAGAGCUUUUCAGUGGUCCGUAGAUGCACGUGAUCUCCUCUAGUCCUGAGGGAGUAUUUAAUUUUUGAGCUGGAUGUCAGACUGUUGUAUUAUCAACAUGUCAUCAAUCCAUCGCUCCCUCCCUUCAUCCAUUGAUCCAUCCAUCCUUCAUUCCAUCAUCCAUCCAUUCAUUUAUCCAUCCCAUGACCCCCCCCCCUCCACCCAUCAUUCUCUCCUUCUGUUCAUUUCUUUAUAAUCAAAGAUCCACCCAGGUAUAUGAAUAAUUAUGUGAGUGACAAGAGUUGAUGUCCUUCUAACUGGGCUUCCCAGGUGGCUAUGUCAGUUUAUGCUUUUUAGUACAAUGGGUUUUUUUGUAAACCUGUUCUAUAUCCAUGUGGAAAAUAAGGGUUGCUUCCACUAAGUUUAGGUUUACUACUUUGAAAAGAGCUGAUAAUAGCAAGUUGGUAAAAAAUAUGUUGCUGCCAAACUAGAUGUAAGAAAACUACUGAAAAAAAUGCUUAAAUCUACAGGAGAUCAUUUUUUCUGUUGUUUUUUCCCUCCCUGCUUCCCUUUCUUCCUCGCCCCACCCUUUCAUCUUUCUUAUUCUUCUCUUAUUUUUAUGCUUCUCCACUUUGGUCCUCCUGGGACUCCAGAAAAGCCAGGUGGCCACCACACGAGCCACUUUUGCUGUCUGCUCCUGCGAGCCCUCCUCUGCUCCCCAUCACUUUCUGAACUGCCUGUCCCUUCAGUGAUGCUCGUGUGGUUGGAAUCGGAGCAGAAGAGUGGACACAGCCGUCCUGGAGGCCAGCAGACUGGGUGCAGCAGUCUGUAGCAUUCCGAGACCUCGGCGAGUCCUCUGACAACCGGGCAGAUGAUAAUAUUCAAGGGAGAAGCACCUCCGUGUUGGCUGAGAGAGCCUCAGCUUUGGAGGCAGAUGUCUUGUCUGACUGCUGACCGGCCUGCCUCAGUUGUGUGAUUUUGGCAGGAAACUUACGUCACCAGGUCUUCAUUUCCACAGGAGAAAAUAUUUGGGAGAAUGGUGGUGUGUGUGAAGGACUUCCUGCCAUGCCUGACCCAGAGUGAGAGCCCAGCCCUAGGUCACUAGGAUCGUAUGGCCCUUGAAGAAGUCUAGAGGACUCACCAUGGCCAUAUGAUGGCUAAGUUUUGUUUUCCUUUUUUUAAGGGUGAAAGUGUUAGUCGCUCAGUCAUGUCCGACUCUUUGUGACCCUAUGGACCAUUGCCCACUAGGGUCGUCUCUCCAGGCAAGAAUACUGGAGUGGGUUGCCAUUUGCUUCUCCAAGGGAUCUUCCCAGCUCAAGGAUCCAAACUGGGUCUCCCUGAGCUACCAGGGAAGCCUUCCUUUUCUUUUUUUAAAAGCAUUUCCCCAACUUUGAUGCAGUGAGUAUGUAUAACAUCAGGAAAAAUAUUAUAAAGUGAAAAUAACAAUUGUUCUUGCCUGUCCAUCUCCUUCUAGAACUUGUCUUGAACGCUUCUUCACUUUUAGAGCCUGUGCUUAUUAUACAUGAAGUUAUAACAUCAUGAGAUAUUGGGAAAGCCAUGUUGAUUUUCAACUUAAAAAACAAAAAAAAAGCUGAGUUUGGUACAUUUAUGUGCUGCACGAUAAUAGAGCUCCACGGAAUGUUCCUGACACCCGUGUGGCCAAACAGGGUUAGAAACACGCUUGGUCGGGGUGAAAAGGCACUUUGUUCAUCAGGAAAGUCCUCCAGGGAAGUUCACUGGUGUGGCUGACCUUCCCCCGUCCUGAUGACUGCUCACACCCACCACAAACAUCAGCGGGCUUUUUUCUGAGCUAUUCGCUCUCUAUAAAUGGGAAGUUAUUUCUGUCUAAAAAUAUGCAAAAUACAUUAGAAGGUAAUUGCAAGACAUUCAGGAUUCGAGAAACUUACUUUGAUGACUUUUAAUGGCAAAAUAUACUAUCUUCCAGUGAGCACAAGUUUGUUUUGUUAGUAAUGCUAAUUGUUCAAACAGCCCUAAAUGGCUUAAAAAACCUGGCAAACACUUGUCUAAUACCACUAAGCAGAUGGACAAAUUUCUAAUUAAAUCUAAAUUUAUUCUUUAUCUCUAACUUCUCUCAGAAAAAGAGGAGGAUCUCAGCACACUUGGCUCUGCUGUGAACCCCCUGCCUUCCACCCCUGCCUCCCGUGUGCGUUUAGAGCAGCAAUUCUAAAACUCUCUGUGGUCAAGGUCAA
ensembl:lncRNA